CCUACGGGAGACAGCAGUGGGGAAUAUUGCACAAUGGGGGAAACCCUGAUGCAGCGACGCCGCGUGAGUGAAGAAGUAAUUCGUUAUGUAAAGCUCUAUCAGCAGGGAAGAAAAUGACGGUACCUGAGUAAGAAGCCCCGGCUAACUACGUGCCAGCAGCCGCGGUAAUACGUAGGGGGCAAGCGUUAUCCGGAUUUACUGGGUGUAAAGGGUGCGUAGACGGCAGUGCAAGUCUGGAGUGAAAGGCGGGGGCUCAACCCCCGGACUGCUCUGGAAACUGUACGGCUGGAGUGCAGGAGAGGUAAGUGGAAUUCCUAGUGUAGCGGUGAAAUGCGUAGAUAUUAGGAGGAACACCAGUGGCGAAGGCGGCUUACUGGACUGUAACUGACGUUGAGGCUCGAAAGCGUGGGGAGCAAACAGGAUUAGAUACCCGAGUAGUC
rnacentral:rRNA from 1 species